UGGGGAAUAUUGGACAAUGGGGGCAACCCUGAUCCAGCGAUGCCGCGUGGGUGAAGAAGGCCUUCGGGUUGUAAAGCCCUUUAGGUUGGGAAGAAGGGUGUUUGGUGAAUAGCCAAGCAUUUUGACGGUACCGACAGAAUAAGCACCGGCAAACUCUGUGCCAGCAGCCGCGGUAAUACAGAGGGUGCGAGCGUUAAUCGGAAUUACUGGGCGUAAAGGGCGCGUAGGCGGUAAUGUGAGUGUGAUGUGAAAGCCCUGGGCUUAACCUAGGAAGUGCAUUGCAAACGACAUAACUGGAGUAUAAGAGAGGGUGGCGGAAUUUCCGGUGUAGCGGUGAAAUGCGUAGAGAUCGGAAGGAACGUCAAUGGCGAAGGCAGCCACCUGGCUUAAUACUGACGCUGAGGCGCGAAAGCGUGGGGAUCGAACAG
rnacentral:rRNA from 1 species